GGUUGACGUUUGCUGAUUUUUGACUUUGCUUGUAGCUUCUCCCCGAACUCGCCGUCUUCCUGUCGGCGGCCGGCACUGUAGGUGAGCGCGAGAGGACGGAGGAAGGAAGUCUGCGGACGCCUUCUCCAUCCCAAGGCGCGGGCAGGUGUCGGGACGCUGGGCCUGGCGGUGUUUUCGUCGUGCCCAGCGGUGGGAGGAGACGGGAGAAACCAGAGCCUGGGAGAUUAACAGGAAACUUCCAAGAUGGAAACUUUGUCUUUCCCCAGAUAUAAUGUAGCUGAGAUUGUGAUUCAUAUUCGCAAUAAGAUCUUAACAGGAGCUGAUGGUAAAAACCUUACCAAGAAUGAUCUUUAUCCAAAUCCAAAGCCUGAAGUCUUGCACAUGAUCUACAUGAGAGCCUUACAAAUAGUAUAUGGAAUUCGACUGGAACAUUUUUACAUGAUGCCAGUGAACUCUGAAGUCAUGUAUCCACAUUUAAUGGAAGGCUUCUUACCAUUCAGCAAUUUAGUUACUCAUCUGUGAGUAAAGAGUGAUUUUAUUGUCUUAGUCUACAUUCAUAUUUAUAUUACAUUAAGUUUUCUUAAUGACAUGGUUUUCUUUGGUAAGGAAUACCUACUAUGUUCCUCUUCAUUUCAUGCCAUAUACAUUCAAACUUUCAAAAUUGUAGACUGCCACCAAACAGAACUGCCUCCGACUGUGCCACUUUCUCAGCAUAUUUUCAAUUGAACUUCUAAGAUACUGUGUCUAAAAUUGUUUACCGUCUUUGUGA
rnacentral:sRNA from 1 species